CAACGGGUGAGUAACACGUGAGCAACCUGCCCUAUACAACGGGAUAACACAGAGAAAUUUGUGCUAAUACGGUAUAAGACCACAGUAUCGCAUGAUACAGGGGUAAAAGAUUUAUCGGUAUAGGAUGGGCUCGCGACCCAUUAGCUAGUUGGUGAGGUAACGGCCCACCAAGGCAACGAUGGGUAGCCGACCUGAGAGGGUGAUCGGCCACACUGGGACUGAGACACGGCCCAGACUCCUACGGGAGGCAGCAG
rnacentral:rRNA from 1 species